CAGUGGGGAUAUUGCACAAUGGGCGCAAGCCUGAUGCAGCCAUGCCGCGUGUGUGAAGAAGGCCUUCGGGUUGUAAAGCACUUUCAGUCAGGAGGAAAGGUUAGUAGUUAAUACCUGCUAGCUGUGACGUUACUGACAGAAGAAGCACCGGCUAACUCCGUGCCAGCAGCCGCGGUAAUACGGAGGGUGCGAGCGUUAAUCGGAAUUACUGGGCGUAAAGCGUACGCAGGCGGUUUGUUAAGCGAGAUGUGAAAGCCCCGGGCUCAACCUGGGAACUGCAUUUCGAACUGGCAAACUAGAGUGUGAUAGAGGGUGGUAGAAUUUCAGGUGUAGCGGUGAAAUGCGUAGAGAUCUGAAGGAAUACCGAUGGCGAAGGCAGCCACCUGGGUCAACACUGACGCUCAUGUACGAAAGCGUGGGGAGCAAACGGGAUUAGAUACCCCGGUAGUCCACGCCGUAAACGAUGUCUACUAGAAGCUCGGGUCCUCGGUUCUGUUUUUCAAAGCUAACGCAUUAAGUAGACCGCCUGGGGAGUACGGCCGCAAGGUUAAAACUCAAAUGAAUUGACGGGGCCCC
rnacentral:rRNA from 1 species